rnacentral:rRNA from 1 species
AUACGGAGGGUGCAAGCGUUAAUCGGAAUUACUGGGCGUAAAGCGCACGCAGGCGGUUUGUUAAGUCAGAUGUGAAAUCCCCGGGCUCAACCUGGGAACUGCAUCUGAUACUGGCAAGCUUGAGUCUCGUAGAGGGGGGUAGAAUUCCCGGGGUAGCGGUGAAAUGCGUAGAGAUCUGGAGGAAUACCGGUGGCGAAGGCGGCCCCCUGGACGAAGACUGACGCUCAGGUGCGAAAGCGUGGGGAGCAAACAGGAUUAGAUACCCUGGUAGUCCACGCCGUAAACGAUGUCGACUUGGAGGUUGUGCCCUUGAGGCGUGGCUUCCGGAGCUAACGCGUUAAGUCGACCGCCUGGGGAGUACGGCCGCAAGGUUAAAACUCAAAUGAAUUGACGGGG